rnacentral:SRP_RNA from 1 species
GCUGGGCGUGGUGGUGAGCGCCUGUAAUCCCAGCUACUCGGGAGGCUGAGGCAGGAGAAUCACUUGAACCCGGGAGGCAGAGGUUGCAGUGAGCCGAGAUUGUGCCACUGCACUCCAUCCUGGGCGACAGAGUGAGAUUCUGUCUCAA